rnacentral:lncRNA from 1 species
UCAAGGCUACUUGUUUCGAGAGUAAACCACCUUAAAGAUCAUAUAUUUUGAAUCUCUUGACUCACCUGAAUAAAAGUCUUCCCUUACCCAACCAAAUGACUUGGACCAACUGACCAUUUGCAAGAAUUCACCUGAUGUUUUGUGCUUAAUGAAUGUGAAAGUUGGUUGAUUUGAAUGUGUGGAUGCUUGUUGAUGAGUAUAAGGCAAAAAGGAGUUGAGAUAGGCCUAGAGAAGCUAGAGUGUAAUAAGAGAGUGUGCUCAUGCUGGAUUAGAUGUUGAAUUGAGGGCUAGUUGUGUUUCUUUUGGCUAUGAGCUCUCACCUUCAAACCUCUCUCCCUAUGAGUUCUAGAAAGCUCACUUGUGGACAAGUAAAAGAACAAGUUUGGGG